rnacentral:lncRNA from 1 species
CAUCAGUGUAAUUGUGCAGACUCUUUUGGAUAUUGACUAUUCUUGACUAGAUAUAGUAGUUCAGUUGCAUCAAGGAAGAUGCAACCAUGCUAUUGGCAUGAGAUGCUGUGGGGUGGAGAUGGAGUUGGGCUCAAUAUUUUGGAUAUGGUGAGGGUCUCAAUGACGGCUCUAUUUCAUAUUAAUGGUGGGUCUGAUGACUU